rnacentral:lncRNA from 1 species
UCACCUAACAGUUAUUGAUAACACGAAUAAACAUCAAUGCAUGGAUAACUCUUUGCCCAGAUGCUUCUCUAAGCAUAUUGCAGCUACUUGUCUCUAAGUCAUAUGGGCUCACCUAAUAGUUAUUGUCCGUACUCCUUAAUUAAGUCAAACCCAUCGUUCACAAACAGGUGCAAAGCCGUCAUUGAGUCCCUCACCUAAUAGUUAUUGAGCCC